GGGGCACCGGCCUAGAACAGAGCAACAAAUAUUUACUAAUUCCAUUAACAGAAGAGAGUUGGAAUUUUUUUUUCCCAAGCGAAUAUCCGAGGCCCCAAGUUCAUGUAGCCACCCAAAGUUACACUUUGGUUCACCAAGACGAAGACUCAUCCUUCCUCUCUCUAUGGAUCUUUCAGAUGAAGAAAUUAAGGCUCAGGAGGGAGGAAAAAAAUAAAAGAAAGAAUUGUCCAAGGUCACCAAGGCAUCUGGACUCCCAUAUGUUGAGCUACUUCUGCUUGUGGGGCAGCUGCAAUACAUGAAUUCUUCACUACCUUGUUCCAUGUGAAGCAACCUUUCUGCUCAGAUAUUCCCUGGCCUGCAAUAGAAGCUCCAGUUUGGGCUUUGGAAACUCAAGUCUCAGAGUUCUUCAGGGAGGCUCUUACAAUUGUGUAGCAUUGGCAGCAC
rnacentral:lncRNA from 1 species